rnacentral:tRNA from 1 species
GUUAAUGUAGCUUAAGAACCAAAGCAAGGCACUGAAAAUGCCUAGAUGGGUUUAUUAACUCCAUAAACA